ACGAAAGGACCAAGAAAACAGGACCGCUGUCAACGACACGUCCUAAACACAAGGCUGAAUACAACUAAAGCCAAACAACAAAAUAAAAACCCGGAGAUAACGGGCUUA
rnacentral:rRNA from 1 species